GAUGAACGCUGGCGGCGUGCCUAAUACAUGCAAGUCGAGCGAACAGAUAAGGAGCUUGCUCCUUUGAAGUUAGCGGCGGACGGGUGAGUAACACGUGGGUAACCUACCUAUAAGACUGGGAUAACUUCGGGAAACCGGAGCUAAUACCGGAUAACAUUUAGAACCGCAUGGUUCUAAAGUGAAAGAUGGUUUUGCUAUCACUUAUAGAUGGACCCGCGCCGUAUUAGCUAGUUGGUAAGGUAACGGCUUACCAAGGCGACGAUACGUAGCCGACCUGAGAGGGUGAUCGGCCAAACUGGAACUGAGACACGGUCCAGACUCCUACGGGAGGCAGCAGUAGGGAAUCUUCCGCAAUGGGCGAAAGCCUGACGGAGCAACGCCGCGUGAGUGAUGAAGGGUUUCGGCUCGUAAAACUCUGUUAUUAGGGAAGAACAAAUGUGUAAGUAACUGUGCACAUCUUGACGGUACCUAAUCAGAAAGCCACGGCUAACUACGUG
rnacentral:rRNA from 1 species